rnacentral:rRNA from 1 species
GUACAGGAUGGACCCGCGUCUGAUUAGCUAGUUGGUAAGGUAACGGCUUACCAAGGCGACGAUCAGUAGCCGACCUGAGAGGGUGAUCGGCCACAUUGGAACUGAGACACGGUCCAAACUCCUACGGGAGGCAGCAGUGGGGAAUAUUGCACAAUGGGCGAAAGCCUGAUGCAGCAACGCCGCGUGAGGGAUGAAGGCCUUCGGGUCGUAAAACUCUGUCCUCAAGGAAGAUAAUGACGGUACUUGAGGAGGAAGCCCCGGCUAACUACGUGCCAGCAGCCGCGGUAAUACGUAGGGGGCUAGCGUUAUCCGGAUUUACUGGGCGUAAAGGGUGCGUAGG